GUCGGCCGCCUGGGUGGUGGAGUUCUACUGGUCGUGGGGCGGCCCCUGUGUCAACUAUGGGGCCACCUGGAAGGUACUGGGCCCGGGAGGUGAAAGACUUCCAAAGAGUACAAUCUCUGGGACCAAGAUAGGCUGACAGGUCUGAGUCCACAAGGGACUCCCUCGGCUGUCUCGUAUCUGUACUUUAUCAAUUUGGCGCUGCAAGCAGGGUUCCAACAAGGGCUACAUUUGACUGAAACUGGAAAAGAAGAGUUCCAUCUAAGGGUUGGACUCAAGACCAAUGGACCCACAAGAUGUGAUCAACAAAACGGGUCAAGAUGCAGGGAAGAUACCUGCCCAACUGUUGCCUGAUUCGUGUGGAUGGAAGUUUACUUGCUGGCUAUGAUCGCUGUGUGGAUGGAUCGUGUGGGAUGUACUGAUAGUCCUUGGACUCAUCCUAGGAAUACACACUGUCGUCUGCUUAUGCGUGAAAUAGACUGUGCAUUGUUUUUCACCUAAGCCAAAGAGCAUCUGGUUAAUUGACCCUUGUCUACCCCUCUAACUCUGUGCCUGAACUUCCAUGCUGAAAUCCUGUAUCUUUCAGACUCUGCUCCUCUGGACGAUGACCUGGCAGAGGAGGCACUUGACUUAUUUGAAAAUAUACAUUGACUGGAUGGACUAAUAAUUUCCUAUUCCUAUUCCUUGGAUGCUGCCUGACCUGCUGUGCUUUAACCAGCAACACAUUUUCAACUGCGAUCUCCAGCAUCUGCAGACCUAAUUUUUUACCCUAAUAAUAAUUAUAAGCCAAGUAGUUGUCAUGAAAUAA